UCAGAAUGCCAUGAUAAAUUUAAAUUAUAUUUUUUCGUGCAUAAUUGAAAAAUGAGGCUUAAUAGUAUAAUACAAUUGUUUUGGCCAAAAACCAUGAUGACAUAUUCACAAGUUUUGACCCAGUUUUUUUUUUUUAUGAUCGAAUACAAAAUCAAGAAGAGAGAAUGGAGAAAAGGGGGAAAAAUGCACAAAUUAGCCAGCAUCAUCAAUCAAAAUUGUAGCAGCAGGAGCAACAUCAGCAAUAGCAAACAAGAACAUUGCAGCAUCCAUACUAGUUUAUCAACUCUCUGCACUGGUGGCUGGCUGAUGGAUUUACCAAAAAGAGAAAAAACCGCAUCAGCGACUUCAGGCCAGCUUACCCUUUUAGGUACGAAGUAAAUUCAAUUGAAAGUGCUUGCCUUACCUGAAAAAAGAAAAACUCUUUCAAUAUGCCUGUAAAUAUCAACAUCAUCAUCAUCGUCAUCAUCAGGUAGACUAGAAAAUAUUCAAAUGAAGUUUACAAAUUGAAUACAAAAUGCCUGCUAGGCAUAUACCAAUAUAUGCUUUUGAUCUUUGCCCAUAUGAUACAUCUAUAUCUAAAUAUAUAUUUUCUACUCUUA